rnacentral:rRNA from 1 species
UACGAAGGGGGCUAGCGUUGCUCGGAAUCACUGGGCGUAAAGCGCACGUAGGCGGCUUCUUAAGUCAGGGGUGAAAUCCUGGAGCUCAACUCCAGAACUGCCUUUGAUACUGAGAAGCUUGAGUCCGGGAGAGGUGAGUGGAACUGCGAGUGUAGAGGUGAAAUUCGUAGAUAUUCGCAAGAACACCAGUGGCGAAGGCGGCUCACUGGCCCGAUACUGACGCUGAGGCACGAAAGCGUGGGGAGCAAACAGGG